rnacentral:rRNA from 1 species
CAGCCGCCGCGGUAAUACCGGCGGCCCGAGUGGCGGUCACUAUUAUUGGGCUUAAAACGUCCGUAGCCGGGUUGGGAAGUCCUCCGGGAAAUCUGGCCGCUUAACGGUCAGAAUGCCGGAGGAUACUCCCAGCCUAGGGAGCGGGAGAGGCCGAGGGGAUUCCCGGGGUAGGGGUGGAAUCCUAUAAUCCCGGGAGGACCACCUGUGGCGAAGGCGCUCGGCUGGAACGCGUCCGACGGUGAGGGACGAAGGCCAGGGGAGCAAACCGGAUUAGAUACCCGGGUAGUCCUGGCUGUAAACGAUGCGGACUUUGUGUCGGACAAGCUAUGAGCUUGUCCGGUGCCGGAGGGAAACCGUUAAGUCCGCCGCCUGGGGAGUACGGCCGCAAGGCUGAAACUUAAAGGAAUUGGCGGG